rnacentral:lncRNA from 1 species
AUGCCCAAGGCUCCUCUUGGGGUUCUCAGUUGUACCCAUAUGUGGUUCCCCACAGCCCCUGGAAAGGGUGACUCCCAAGUUCCAGCUCCUGGGAUCCAGGGUGCUGCGUGCAGGGGCUGGGAGAGGCCACCCUGGACUGGGCUCAGGCAUUGGGGUGGGGAGACUGGCAGACAGGCUGCCUCCCCCUUCCAGAGCCCAUGGGCUGCAAGAGGUGAUUCUGAGGCAACCUUUGACUCCUGCAGGGGGCAGGCUGUAGACCCAUCAUCAGCCCCAGAUCUGGAUGAAGCCAGGAGUGACCGAGACCCAAGGUGGAAGAGCCCUGCUACGCCUGCAGGGCCCACAUGCGGUUGCUUACAAGAGCUGAACCCCACCACCGGCAGUAGCUUUGGGGAUCUAGGAGGCUCUGAGUUCAAGGACUUGGCCCAGAGGGAAGAGAGGAGACAAGCAGCACCUACAACCCAGAGGCCAUCCACUAGCCUAUGGGGGAGGAAGCUCGCUCAGGGAGCCCCGAGGCCCUCAGGCCUGCCCUCCCAGGGCCUGUCAGAACCCCACGAUCCCCCCGAGGGGCUGAGCUGGAGCCUGGGCCAGGAGAGAGCAGAACUUCAGAAACUGCUGAGGCUAGGGAUUCCUCAGAGGCAGAGAGAGGAGGCUCCUCAAGAGCAGAAAGAGCGCCCCGGGGUUCAGAGGGGGGAGGUCCGCAGGGGGGAGAGCAAGGAAGUUCCUAAGAGACCCACAGAGAAGAUACAGCAGGGCCAGAGGGGGGAGGCUACUCAGGCUCUGAGGGAGGAAGUCUCUGUGGAUCCCAGGGGGCAGGCUCCCGAGGGUGAGAGGAGAGAGUCUCCUCAACGUCAAAGAGGAAACAGCCCUGAGGGGCAGAGAAAAGAGGUCCUCCGGGAGCCGAGGAAGGAGACUCCUCAGGGCCGGGAAGGGAAGAGCCCUCAAACUUCCCCCGGCUGCCUCUCACAAGCCUGGGAGGUGCCUCAGGGAGAGGCGCCUACACAGCCCCCGGCGGAAGGCGGCUCCCUGGGGAUUUCUGGGGAUUUCUGCAGGCCCCUGGGAGAACAGAUGCCGCAGCCUGGGGGAAGAGAGAGCCCUGGCUCCGGGGAAAGGACCACCCAGCUGCCACAGGACGAAACUGAAGGCCAGAGCCGGGCGUCCGCACCGGCCGCAGGAGAGCAGAGGGCCGCCCGGCAGGGGGCGCGGCCUCCCCUUCCACGCCCGAGGCUCCCGGCCGGGCCGCCGCUCCCAGGCCCAGGGGCCGAGCCGCUAGCAGCCCCAGGCACUGGGCGCUCGGGGCAGCGGGAGCAGCCCGCCGCUCUCCCGGGGCGCCCGGGGCUGGUGCGUGAGCCGCACGGGCUUCAGGACCCGGAAGGAAGCCCGGGCCCGGCGGAGCAGGUGCCCGGCGGCUCCGCUAGGCUCCCGGGCACCGUCGGGGGGCGGAGGGGCGGCGCCGAGGCCCCCGAGGCCCCAAAGGCCGCGUGGCCCGGGCUCCCGGGCGGGGAGCAGGCGUCGGCGGGCGUGAGCGCGGCGCAGCAGGAGACGGCUCUGCAGCG